AGGAAGGGCCUGCCCUUGGGUGCCCAUGCCGGGCCUUCAAGAGGGAAGCCGGUGCGAGUCCGGCGCGGUCCCGCCACUGUGAUCGGGCAGCCCUGAGGUCAGGGCAGGGGUCCUCGGCAGUCGCCACUCCGGUGUUGCAACCGGGGGAAGGUGGAGGAGCCCUUCUGGGAGACGCGGCGUGCGUCUCGGCCGGAGUCCGACAGCCAGGAGACCUGCCCAGGGGUGUGGGCGCGA
rnacentral:ncRNA from 1 species